AUUUGAAUGUCUGCAAGGACAAGCUGCUGACUCAAAUCAUGCUGGGAAGACCAAAAGCUUGUUCACCAUGUAUGCACAUCACAAGAUGCACGACUGACAACAAUGGACUCGUCGCGUUCAGUGGAUGAGCAGGAGACUGUACCGGCGCGCUCUCAACAAGCAAGCGUCAUUCUUUGUUGAGUUGCUAGGAAGUAGUAAGUCUUGCCACCAUUGCAACUAAAUUUAUACCGUAGCCGUACAAAUUACAUUAUAUUUUUUUUUAUUGGAUUUGUACUACUCCUUGUUGGUUGUUGGUCUGAGCCUGAUUGUUCGAUGAUCCACGUAUUCAAUAGACGGUGGCGCCGCCAGCUAAGCGCUCGGCCCUUGAGUGAGUACGUGAGGCGGUAUCUUCUGGUUGGUCAAAGGGAAGUUGGUUGGACAUGUGAUUUAUUGUUCAAAGCGUGGAUUAGUUCGUGAUAUGUAUCCGCCUGUAGGAGAAGUG
rnacentral:sRNA from 1 species